AUCGCUUCUCAGCCUUUUGGCUAAGAUCAAGUGUAGAAUAUACUCUUAAUAUUUGAAAAUGAUCAAAUGAAACAUAACUGUGGUUCCACCAAAGCAUCCAUGGGUCCAGUGUCAGAAUCAGGAUAUUGAGUCAAAUGGACCAGUGAUC
rnacentral:snRNA from 1 species